UACUUAGUAAUAUAACUAGAAUGUUCUACAGAGAUGUCAUUAAUGUUUUAUUAGACUAUUUGUUGAAGGAGAUCCGGAUUCACUCUUCAUUUUGUUCGCUAUUUAAAUGUGUUUAUGUAACAAAACUUACAUGGAUAAAAGAUUGAUGUAACAUUAAAAUGGACGAAUCAGACUCACUUUUUUGUGUUCACAGGAUCCGUUUCUAAAAUCCGAAAAUUUGUCAGUAAAUAUGUAAUAAACUAACAGUUCCACCGAAUUUAAUCGUUUUCAUGUAACAAACAAUAACAUCGAUUUCAUUAAAGUUAAAAUACAUAAACGCUUCUUCUCUCUUGUCAUUGUCAAUAUAAUAAACAUGCGAGUGAAUUAUAUUAGUAAAUAUGAAACAUGGCAGUACAUUUUACACUCUUUGAACAUACCUUAUUGUUCAUUUUGUAUGAGUGUAAACAUACAAUACAUUAAAGGAAAAAACACACUCCAAAAAACACCAUCUUGUAAACUCAAGAUUCGAGUUAUAAAAGCAAGAGACAAAAUUCAAAGCAAUAUUUCGACUUUAGUUCAAAGUCAUUAUCAAGCUAAGUCAUUGUUUACAAGCAUGCGUAAUCUUAAAUAGUUGUUACAAAGAAAUGACGUAAGCAAUGAAAGAAAGAAAGGCGAUGAAAGGAGGUGUUACUGUCUAGAAUUACAUCAAUGGAAUUAAAAUAUAGCAAGUUCUUUAGAAGCCUUUGGUCCAGAAAUUAGCACAGGCUUUUUGAGACGUAUAUAUAUCGCCUCAAGAAAAGGAGAUGAGCUAGGCCCUUAAUGUUGAAGUUAAACUUGCCUGAGGAUCAUUCUCUAUGGCGUUGUGAAAUACAAUUUUGUUUCUAUUGGAGAAGUACUUUGCUUUUUGAAGUUGUCAAUAGUAUAGAAAUUUUCGAUGAAGUCAGUUGACACUGGAUCCGUCUAGUCACGAGCAGCUUUAGAAGUUAUUGAACCGUAUGAAUUAUUAUUCGUGGAACUAAGGAAUAUGAUUAUAAUUCAAACGUGAUUGAAAUAUAGAUGUAACUUAUAUACUGGUAUAAAGCAUUAUCUCUAAACUAAAAAGAUCACUAUGAAUGUGCGAGCUGUUUUCAGAUUGAGCCAUUAAUAGCUGCAGAAAACUACAUUUGGCAAACUAAUUUCACAAUUUGAUCAACUGAAACUCAGAAUUCAAGAACUUCGAAUUGAGAGAGGUGAUAAGGAUGACAAAAUCGAAAAAUGGGUAAAUGAAAUCAACUUAGAGUUGGAAGGAUUUGAUUGUAAAAAAUUGACAAUCAAUGUAAAGCAGACCAACGGAGCUAGG